GUGAAAGAUUGUUCAUCAUCGGGUUUUGUUUCGGGGAGGCAUUUUUAGGCGUCUACAAUCCCGAAACAAUCUAAGUAUGUACGACCAUAAGCACUUCUGGAUUGGCCAGUAGACAUAGAUUUUGACGAGAAGGAGGAGGCUCUAACCAUAGAUGCCAAGGGUAAUAAUACAUUAGUAAGUGCUAUAAUUCUGUCGAUUGACGUUUGGAGUAAUAAUGACGCCCAAUACUAUGUUGAAUUCAAUGAUCUAUGCCAACCAAUUAGAAAAGGUGGACAUAUUUUGGUUAAAUUUAUUAGUAUGAUUGCAAAGAUGGAAAGUCGUUGUCUAGUUGGGGAAAAAGAUUGGCAUGCAAUCGACAAGCAUUUCAAAGGGAAGAUAAUUACAAAUACAAGAGAACACUUUGUGAUUCCUCCUGGUGCGGAAUAUGACAACCAAGCUCUCAAGCGUGCCAAUAAAUGUUGGAGGCAGUACAAAUACUCUCUGAAAAAGCAAUAUUACAAGCCUUUAGAGAAGACAUUAGAUGACAUUUGUAAUCAUGUGCCACAUGGAAUUACUAAUAGUCAUUGGGUAAAGUUGGUGAAAUAUUGGGAUUCGAAUAAAGGGAAAGUAUGUUCAAUACUAAUCUUACUAUGUAUGAAACAAUAUUUAAUAUCUAAUUCAAAAUUUUAUGAUAAAUACAUACUAUUUAAAUGUGAA